rnacentral:rRNA from 1 species
UUAAGCGACUAAGCGUACACGGUGGAUGCCCUGGCAGUCAGAGGCGAUGAAGGACGUGCUAAUCUGCGAUAAGCGUCGGUAAGGUGAUAUGAACCGUUAUAACCGGCGAUUUCCGAAUGGGGAAACCCAGUGUGAUUCGUCACACUAUCAUUAACUGAAUCCAUAGGUUAAUGAGGCGAACCGGGGGAACUGAAACAUCUAAGUACCCCGAGGAAAAGAAAUCAACCGAGAUUCCCCCAGUAGCGGCGAGCGAACGGGGAGGAGCCCAGAGCCUGAAUCAGUGUGUGUGUUAGUGGAAGCGUCUGGAAAGGCGCGCGAUACAGGGUGACAGCCCCGUACACAAAAAUGCACAUACUGUGAGCUCGAUGAGUAGGGCGGGACACGUGGUAUCCUGUCUGAAUAUGGGGGGACCAUCCUCCAAGGCUAAAUACUCCUGACUGACCGAUAGUGAACCAGUACCGUGAGGGAAAGGCGAAAAGAACCCCGGCGAGGGGAGUGAAAAAGAACCUGAAACCGUGUACGUACAAGCAGUGGGAGCACGCUUAGGCGUGUGACUGCGUACCUUUUGUAUAAUGGGUCAGCGACUUAUAUUCUGUAGCAAGGUUAACCGAAUAGGGGAGCCGAAGGGAAACCGAGUCUUAACUGGGCGUUAAGUUGCAGGGUAUAGACCCGAAACCCGGUGAUCUAGCCAUGGGCAGGUUGAAGGUUAGGUAACACUAACUGGAGGACCGAACCGACUAAUGUUGAAAAAUUAGCGGAUGACUUGUGGCUGGGGGUGAAAGGCCAAUCAAACCGGGAGAUAGCUGGUUCUCCCCGAAAGCUAUUUAGGUAGCGCCUCGUGAAUUCAUCUCCGGGGGUAGAGCACUGUUUCGGCAAGGGGGUCAUCCCGACUUACCAACCCGAUGCAAACUGCGAAUACCGGAGAAUGUUAUCACGGGAGACACACGGCGGGUGCUAACGUCCGUCGUGAAGAGGGAAACAACCCAGACCGCCAGCUAAGGUCCCAAAGUCAUGGUUAAGUGGGAAACGAUGUGGGAAGGCCCAGACAGCCAGGAUGUUGGCUUAGAAGCAGCCAUCAUUUAAAGAAAGCGUAAUAGCUCACUGGUCGAGUCGGCCUGCGCGGAAGAUGUAACGGGGCUAAACCAUGCACCGAAGCUGCGGCAGCGACACUAUGUGUUGUUGGGUAGGGGAGCGUUCUGUAAGCCUGUGAAGGUGUGCUGUGAGGCAUGCUGGAGGUAUCAGAAGUGCGAAUGCUGACAUAAGUAACGAUAAAGCGGGUGAAAAGCCCGCUCGCCGGAAGACCAAGGGUUCCUGUCCAACGUUAAUCGGGGCAGGGUGAGUCGACCCCUAAGGCGAGGCCGAAAGGCGUAGUCGAUGGGAAACAGGUUAAUAUUCCUGUACUUGGUGUUACUGCGAAGGGGGGACGGAGAAGGCUAUGUUGGCCGGGCGACGGUUGUCCCGGUUUAAGCGUGUAGGCUGGUUUUCCAGGCAAAUCCGGAAAAUCAAGGCUGAGGCGUGAUGACGAGGCACUACGGUGCUGAAGCAACAAAUGCCCUGCUUCCAGGAAAAGCCUCUAAGCAUCAGGUAACAUCAAAUCGUACCCCAAACCGACACAGGUGGUCAGGUAGAGAAUACCAAGGCGCUUGAGAGAACUCGGGUGAAGGAACUAGGCAAAAUGGUGCCGUAACUUCGGGAGAAGGCACGCUGAUAUGUAGGUGAAGCGACUUGCUCGUGGAGCUGAAAUCAGUCGAAGAUACCAGCUGGCUGCAACUGUUUAUUAAAAACACAGCACUGUGCAAACACGAAAGUGGACGUAUACGGUGUGACGCCUGCCCGGUGCCGGAAGGUUAAUUGAUGGGGUCAGCGCAAGCGAAGCUCUUGAUCGAAGCCCCGGUAAACGGCGGCCGUAACUAUAACGGUCCUAAGGUAGCGAAAUUCCUUGUCGGGUAAGUUCCGACCUGCACGAAUGGCAUAAUAAUGGCCACACUGUCUCCUCCCGAGACUCAGUGAAAUUGAAAUGUUUGUGAUGAUGCAAUCUCCCCGCGGCUAGACGGAAAGACCCCAUGAACCUUAACUGUAGCUUUGCAUUGGACUUUGAACCGAUCUGUGUAGGAUAGGCGGGAGGCUUUGAAGAAUGGACGCCAGUUCAUUCGGAGCCGUCGUUGAAAUACCGCCCUGAUUUGUUUGAGGUUCUAACCUGGGCCAGUGAUCCUGGCUGGGGACCGUGCAUGGUGGGCAGUUUGACUGGGGCGGUCUCCUCCUAAAGAGUAACGGAGGAGCACGAAGGUUGGCUAAUCCUGGUCGGACAUCAGGAGGUUAGUGCAAUGGCAUAAGCCAGCUUGACUGCGAGCGUGACGGCGCGAGCAGGUGCGAAAGCAGGUCAUAGUGAUCCGGUGGUUCUGAAUGGAAGGGCCAUCGCUCAACGGAUAAAAGGUACUCCGGGGAUAACAGGCUGAUACCGCCCAAGAGUUCAUAUCGACGGCGGUGUUUGGCACCUCGAUGUCGGCUCAUCACAUCCUGGGGCUGAAGUAGGUCCCAAGGGUAUGGCUGUUCGCCAUUUAAAGUGGUACGCGAGCUGGGUUUAGAACGUCGUGAGACAGUUCGGUCCCUAUCUGCCGUGGGCGCUGGAGAACUGAGGGGGGCUGCUCCUAGUACGAGAGGACCGGAGUGGACGCAUCACUGGUGUUCGGGUUGUCAUGCCAAUGGCACUGCCCGGUAGCUAAAUGCGGAAGAGAUAAGUGCUGAAAGCAUCUAAGCACGAAACUUGCCCCGAGAUGAGUUCUCCCUGACCCUUUAAGGGUCCUGAAGGAACGUUGAAGACGACGACGUUGAUAGGCCGGGUGUGUAAGCGCAGCGAUGCGUUGAGCUAACCGGUACUAAUGAACCGUGAGGCUUAACCUU